rnacentral:tRNA from 11 species
GCAGUCGUGGCCGAGUGGUUAAGGCGAUGGACUCGAAAUCCAUUGGGGUUUCCCCGCACAGGUUCGAAUCCUGUCGACUGCG